AAGCAGGGGAUCGUAAGACCUUGUGCUUUUGGAGUGGCCGAUGCCUGAUUAGCUAGUUGGUAGGGUAAAGGCCUACCAAGGCGACGAUCAGUAGUUGGUCUGAGAGGACGACCAGCCACACUGGGACUGAGACACGGCCCAGACUCCUACGGGAGGCAGCAGUGGGGAAUUUUGGACAAUGGGCGAAAGCCUGAUCCAGCAAUGCCGCGUGAGUGAAGAAGGCCUUCGGGUUGUAAAGCUCUUUCAGUCGAGAAGAAAAGGUUGCGACGAAUAAUCGUAACUCAUGACGGUAUCGACAGAAGAAGCACCGGCUAACUACGUGCCAGCAGCCGCGGUAAUACGUAGGGUGCGAGCGUUAAUCGGAAUUACUGGGCGUAAAGGGUGCGCAGGCGGCUUUGUAAGUCAGAUGUGAAAUCCCCGGGCUUAACCUGGGAAUUGCGUUUGAAACUACAAAGCUAGA
rnacentral:rRNA from 1 species